CGUUGGGAUCAGACUGUGUAUGCCGGCUUGGUUCUGGGGGAUCAUUGUGGCAAAACUAGCCACUAGAGACUAUUAAUGUAUAAGUAUGUUUGUAUUCUUGCUAAAGCUGUAGAGACCAGUGCAGAAUUGUAUUUGUAUUUCAGGCGAAUGAGGGCAUUCGUAUGCUGGCGGUAUGAAAACUCCAGCAUUCAUACUUUAGUUUCACAAACAGUGAGUUUAAACGAUUUGUUGAUCAUCUGGAAAGGGAGUAUCAAAGAGGCACAAACCAUGGUAGAACAUCUCAACACACUUCCAACUACAGUGAGGUUUACAGCUAACAUUAGUACAGAGUCUGUACAGUUCCUUGACUUUGAAAUAUGACUGAAGAACCACAGGAUUUCAUAUGGUCUAUUCAGCAAGCUCCUAACAGAUCCUAAGACCAUCUUGCACGUUGACAGCGCACAUCCAUUGCCGCUUAAACGUUCACUAUCUAAGGAGCAGUAUAUGUGUGUUAUAGGGAACAAUUCAGAAAAAUCCAUUAUGGAACAGCAGCUGAAUAUUCCUUGUACGGGGAUACAACUACAAACACCUAUUGAGAGCGUUAAAUGAG